AAAAUGGGAACGGACAACCGACAACAUCUCCCAGAAAGGCAGCAAUCAAAAUAUCGCCGUGGCGAUAUAUUCGUCUUAUUAUUUUGUACAAUCCGUUAUGAGAGAUAUUCAAAUAUAUAUAUAUUUACUAUAAAACUCGUAAAACAACAUGAUACUCUCUGACUGAGUGCAAAAGUGGGAAAAGGCAACCAAUAGAUUAGAGAGCCCAACACACAAAAAGCCCCCUCCUCUCCUCUCCUUUCCUUCCAUUCUUCUUCUUUAUUUAUAAAUUUGAGACGAUCAACUUCACAUUUUUUUUUAUUUUUCUUUUUUUAGAAGAAGCAACUAACCACCACACAUCACCAUGCAUGAUUCAAACAAACAAGUACAACCUAGAAAAUCAAAUUUAGCCAUUAUACUAUAAUCAAUACGAUUACUUGUUUUCACCCUUUGCAAUUCAAAACAAACUAUAUAUCUAUUGUCCGCUUUUAUACUUUU
rnacentral:lncRNA from 1 species